GUGGGGAAUAUUGGACAAUGGGCGCAAGCCUGAUCCAGCAAUGCCGCGUGGGUGAAGAAGGUCUUCGGAUCGUAAAGCCCUUUCGACAGGGACGAUGAUGACGGUACCUGUAGAAGAAGCCCCGGCUAACUUCGUGCCAGCAGCCGCGGUAAUACGAAGGGGGCUAGCGUUACUCGGAAUUACUGGGCGUAAAGGGCGCGUAGGCGGCUCUGUUAGUCAGGCGUGAAAUUCCUGGGCUUAACCUGGGGACUGCGCUUGAUACUGCAGGGCUUGAGGCCGAGAGAGGGUGGUGGAAUUCCCAGUGUAGAGGUGAAAUUCGUAGAUAUUGGGAAGAACACCGGUGGCGAAGGCGACCACCUGGCUCGGUUCUGACGCUGAGGCGCGACAGCGUGGGGAGCAAACAGGAUUAGAUACCCUGGUAGUCC
rnacentral:rRNA from 1 species